UUGAUUUACCAUGACACCAUUUAAAUAUGUAAUAAAUAAAUACUACAUAUAUAUAUAUAUAUAUAUAUACAAUUUUUUAAAACAUUGUAUUAUGUUUUGUUAAAACUUUGUGUAUGUUGUAUUUGUAUAUGUAAUAACAGUUUGUGCUCGUGUAACAAAUAUUGUUAAAUAAAAUAAAAAAUAUUUAUAAUAUGAUACUUCUUUAUCGAAUUUAUCUAUAUAAUAAAAAAAAAAAAAAAAAAAAAAUAGCAGUAUGACAGCAGGAAAUAAAUAAAAAAAUAAAGAUGGAUUACAAAAUUGGAGUAACUUAGUGAUAAAAAAAAUGGGCAUGUUAACAAACCACUCGCGCAAGAAUGUAAACAAAGCGUUAUAAAAGAUACUUAACAAUGACACUAAUAGUGAGAACAAUAGUUCAUAUGUAACAAGUUUAGAAGUGUUGGAAACUUUUUUUUUGUUUUUUUGUUUAUUUUACUAGUAGGUGCACAUCUUUUAGGUCCAUAUAUCAGUCCAUCUUAGACCUAAUGUUAGACUUAAUAAACAUGCUAGACAAAACAUAUGGCCUGGGUUAAAUAAUGUACCAAGUGUGAAUAAUUGUAUUGAUCGUCGUAGAGGAUAAUAAAAUGGACAUUUCUAAGCAUACUAUUUAUGUAUGCACAAUUUUGUUAAAAAAGCAAAAUAUAUAUGAAUAUUUGAUACAGUUGUUUAUUAUGUUUACGAAUUGUUAGUGCUAUAAAAAUGUUUGAUAAUUUAGUUUUUAUUAUAGUUGUACAUUAUCAGUUAUUGUUGUAUACUAAUUUAAUAUUUGCAUUAACUUCAGAUAGUUUGUUGUUUUUUUUUUUUUUUUUUUUUUUUGUUUUUCUUUCAUGCUAAAUUAAUUGAGUUGUGUCAUUUUGCAUAUGUUAAAAUGCACAAUUAAAUGUGAUAAUUUUUUUUUUUU